CGCGGAAUGGAGCAGAGGCCAGCUCGUCAGACUCAUUAUCUGAAGGUCGGGGGUUCGAAUCCCCCUUCCGCUAC
rnacentral:tRNA from 1 species